UCUGCCCUGGCCAGCUUCUCUGCCAAGGUCUCCAUCCCCAUGUAAUGCAUAAGCAGCCAGACAUAGCUCAGGAACUCGACUCCGGUGCCAAGGCUCUUAGCGUGCAAGUACCCCCGGCAUCUGGCAGCAGAAAAGCAGAGCAUCUCCACCCACACGCCUUCGAUCACUCUCCACAUCUUCUCCUCGUCAUGUAAAUUCAGGAGCACUUCAGCUAUAGACCAAGCGUCGUCUAUGAGCCCUGUUUUAUUGGAUGGUGCUGGUGUCUUGUCUUCGAUGGUUUUCUCCUUGAUUGGCUGUUGCACAUGCACCUGCACCUCACUGAUUAUUGUCCCUGCAAGUUCUCCUUCAUUCAGUGGUGUACUCUUCUUGUUGAACAUGCCCUUCAGUUGGUUGUAGGCAUCUGUGAAUAAGUUUCGCCUGCUGCCCGCCAUUAGCAUCUCAGGAUUCACAACAAGUAGGUACAUCAUGUAGUUGGACAUUUCUCGGCAAUGAACAGCUCUUCCUUGGUGAAUAGAUUCUUCGCAGAAAGUUGGACUUUCACUUUUGAGAUCAGAGGUGCCUUGAAAGCACGUUUUUGUAGCAUGUUCACAGUCAUGAGAUCCACAGAUGUGGUAGUAGCAGAAAUCGGUGGCGAGAUGCCAGAGAAGGACACUCUCAUCGAAUGCACCCUCUAAGCUCCAGCCUAGUUGCUGAAGGAACACCUCAGAUUCAAGAGUCCACUGGCCCCUGUUAUCAUUGAACUUCCUGUAACAGGAAACAUUAGUUAUUUCAUCGUUCCACCAACGUUUCACAUGUCCAAGAACUAAGUUAGUAAUGUUGCGCGAGGAGGAACAGGACUUCAUUCUCCAACGUUGGUCGAGAUAAUCCUUGCAACUGAGGAAUUCCGCAACACCCAUUAUCACGGAAUGUUUUCUGUUGCGGACAAAGUAUCCUAAUAGGCUAUAUUGGGAGACCAUGUCAUCCAUGAUAUCAUAUACUGGUAGCUUUCCUUUGGCCUUUGACUUCGCUUGGACAUCAUAUUUUCUGUAAGGUAGGUCCGUAUAACUCUAGGACAGCAGUACAACAAAGCAAGGUAUAUGUAACCUUGACAUCAGUGUGAUUAUAAGCUUUUCUGUGACUUUGGUGGAACAGGCCGAUGGCUACAAAGGACAAGUACGGAAGUAAUCCUCGCAGCAUCGAACCGCAAAACCCUUUUAAAGUUUCUUGCUCUUUCUUUCCCUCAUCGGUGUCAACAUUGGUAUUCACAUAAUUCUGUUGUCUCUUUAGAGCACUAAGAAUAAUUGGAAACAUCUUUUCUUUGGUGUAAAGAAGAUCGAAGGUUUCAUACAGACUUUUCUGCAACAAAAUAUACGAUUCAUCUCCUUCACGUUGUAAGAAUGACAAAAGUUUACUAAGCCGAUCAUCGGAAGAAGGAGAUGCAAGGUCAACAAAUAGCUCACUGGGCUUAAAGUCGGCAGGAGAGCUUGAUUCUUCCCAGCGACCAUCCUCCAAACGAGAUUCAUUUACCUUGUCUAUAAAAUCUUGAAUCGGAUCUUUCUUUACUUCUCUGUUUGUCGUCCUCCGAACAUUCUUGGGAGAGCUCACUAGACUAUUAAUGCUUGCACUACUGAGAGCCCAGGGCUUUUCCAAGCACUUGAGAACACCAGGGACGAAGAGCAGGAUUGCUGCCUGAAGCAACCUCCUGUCACCACCUGGCCAUGAUUUACAGAACACAUAGAUGGCUAUGGUGAUUUGGGACAGCGAUGUGAGGGCGUGCCUUGUCCACAGCUCGUUAUCUUCGAUGUUAUACGCGGUUAUGCUGUCCUGUCCAGCAAGGUGUAUCAGGAAGAUAGGUGCCCACAGCACCUCUAGGAUGCUCGUGUUGUGUGCAUGGCCAUAAUCCUGCUUCUUAUGUCGAUUGAAGAGUGUUGCGAGAGCAUAUAUCGCUAGGGCAUCGCUGCUAAGGUAUGCAAGCCAGAUAAUGUAUCUCAGGUAGAAUUUCAUAGGAAACUUACGCCGAGGAGCCAUGACGAGGAGGAUAUACUGAACAAGUAGGCUGCUCAGUGCGAGAAUGCGCAGCUGCCACUCAUCCCACCAUUGGAUGGCACUUGAGAUACCCAUUCUCUCCUUUCUCCUUCCUUUUCUCUCUG
rnacentral:sRNA from 1 species